UUAUAAUUCUCUGAAUGUUCUUUGUUUACUAUGAAAUGGGACGAGAAAAUGAAAAGGUGUCUCAUCUUUCCCCACCGCUCUAUAUACGUUAAGAUGGUCCAAGUUUUCGUUAUAAACCAUAUCCUCACCACUCUAAAAUAGCAUUGUUAUUUGUUAAAAGCACAAUAGGAAAUCUGAGAUAUUAUUAGCUGUCGGUAACCAUCUUAUAAUAUUUCAAUGAGCAAAUCCAUACAUAUAUAGUAAAUAACAAGACCUCUAAGAUUGCAAGUACAUAUCCAUCGAAACUGUACCAUUUUCUCCACUGAUGUAAGGAAAAAGUGCUGGCAAAUUUUAGACGGUGUUGGCUGAUGAUAGGCACGGUCGAAGCGCAUUGGUUAUCGAGCUGGCCGUUCAACUAAAGGAAACACGUUUGGAAGCUUAUGUUGUUACCAGACAGUGUUUUUACAUAAUGUCAUGCUGUUGUUACUGUACCAAUACGAGUGAACUAUACAAUGUGUCAUGCGCCGUGCGCCUGGUUGAAUACCAUAUGAUGCUUGCUGCCAUAACAGACUUCGUAUGCCGCCAGACUGAUUGCAUGUGGCGUGCUGGGCGCUUUCCGAGUUUUGCUAACGUUUGUGCACAUUUCUUGCAAACAAGCCAGUUCUCGCUGUGCUGUUGUUUCGAAAAGUACAGGGUUUUGUUCCGAUUAAGUAUACGCCUUUGUUUAAUUCUUCUUAGUUUAACAGUGUAAAUCAAGAGUUUUAUGCCAGGUUAUCAUGUAUAUAAAUGUGACGUUUUGUAUAUUGUGUGUGUUAUUAAACAACUGAUUCAUUUUUA